rnacentral:lncRNA from 1 species
CAACUUCCGAGGCGCCCUCAUUGCCAGCCGGACCCCAGCCUCCGACAGGUUCGGGCGCCCUGCUUGCCCCGUGCUUCGCCGGCCCCCGCCCAGCGCCCGGCCCCUCCGGCUCCACUCCGCUCGCUCGGUCGGUCGCUCCGACGCCAUGGACACGUUUUGGUGGCGCGCAGCUUGGGGACUCUGCCUCGUGCAGCUGAGCCUGGCGCAGAUCGAUCUGAAUAUAACCUGCCGAUAUGCAGGCGUAUUCCACGUGGAGAAGAAUGGUCGCUACAGCAUCUCCAAGACUGAGGCUGCCGACCUCUGCAAGGCCUUCAAUAGCACGCUGCCCACCAUGGCCCAGAUGGAGGUGGCCCGGAGCAUAGGGUUUGAGACCUGCAGGUACGGGUUCAUAGACGGGCAUGUGGUGAUUCCCCGGAUCCACCCCAAUUCCAUCUGUGCUGCGAACAACACAGGGGUUUACAUCCUCACAUCCAACACCUCCCAGUAUGACACGUACUGCUUCAAUGCCUCAGCUCCACUUGGAGAAGACUGUACCUCAGUCACGGACCUGCCCAAUGCCUUUGAAGGACCCAUUACCAUAACUAUUGUAAACCGCGAUGGCACCCGUUAUACCAAGAAAGGCGAAUACAGAACGAACCCCGAAGACAUCAACCCCAGCAUCGUGAGCCCCAGCAGCCCUCCUGAUGAUGAGAUGAGCAGUGGCUCCCCCAGCGAGAGAAGCACGUCAGGAGGCUACAGCAUCUUCCACACGCACCUCCCAACUGCGUACCCACCCCCAGACCAAGACAGCCCCUGGGUCUCCAGCAAACCAGAGAAUACCUCGGAUACCACUCAGAUACUAAAGCAAGUCACCGCAACAGGUACGGAUUCAAGUAUCAUCUCAGCAGGCUGGGAGCCAACUGAAGAAAAUGAAGAUGAAAGAGACAGACACCCCAGUUAUUCUGGAUCAGGCAUUGAUGAUGAUGAAGAUUUUAUCUCCAGCACCAUUUCAACCACACCACGGGUUUUUACCCACCCACAACAGAACCCGAAUUGGAUCCAAAGGAACCCAGACCAUUCGAAUCCAGAAGCAUCACCUCAGACAACCACAAGGAUGACUGAUGUGGACAGAAGUAGCACCAGUGCUUAUGGAGAACGCUGGACCCAGGAACCGCACUCUUCUCUCAGUCACCAUGGGUAUCAGGAUGAAGAGGAGACCCCGCAUCCUACAAGCACAACCCAGGCACCCACUACUAGUACAGCAGAAGAAACAGCUACCCAGAAAGAGCAGUGGUUUGAGAAUGGAAGGCCUGGGGAAUAUCCCCAAACACCAAAAGAAGACUCUCAUUCAACAGCAGGGACAACUGUCACAGCAGCCUCAACGCAUGUCAGCCAUCCCCGUCAAAGAGUGACAACGCAGAGCCAAGAGGACAGUUCCUCGACUUACUUCUUCGACCCAGUCUCGCAUCCAAUGGGGCGAGGUCAUCGAACAAAAGGAAGGAUGGAUACAGACACCAGCCCUAGUACAACGCUUCAGCCUUCUGCAGAUCCAAACACGAGUUCGGUGGGAGACUUGGACAGGACAGGACCUCUCUCAAUGACAACUCAGCAGAGUGAUACUCACAGCUUCUCUCCAUCGCAUGGCGGCUUAGAAGAAGACAAAGGCCACUCAACGACUGCUACUCCAACAUCUAUCAAUAGGAACGAUGGAAGAAGAGGUGGAAAUCUUCCUGAAGAUGCAACUACUUCAGUGGAAGGUUACACUCAUUCUCCAGAUACAAAUGAAUACACAACCCUCACCCCAAUGACCCCCACUAAGACUGGGUCCCCUGGAGUUACUGAAGUUACUGUUGUUGGAGAUUCCACCUCUAAGGCUGAUCUUACUUUACCAGGAGACUAUGGCUCGUCCCACGACCCCAGUGGAAGGUCCUAUACAACUCAUGCAUCUGAAUCAGCUGGACACUCAAGUGGGAGUGAAGACCAUGGGGCAAACACAACCUCAGGUCCUAUACGGAAACCUCAAAUUCCGGAAUGGCUGAUCAUCUUGGCAUCUCUCCUGGCCUUGGCUUUGAUUCUCGCGGUUUGCAUUGCUGUCAACAGUAGGAGAAGGUGUGGGCAGAAGAAAAAACUGGUGAUCAACAAUGGGAAUGGAACCAUGGAGGAGAGAAAGCCUAGCGGACUCAACGGAGAAGCUAGCAAGUCUCAGGAGAUGGUGCAUUUGGUGAACAAGGGGUCGUCAGAGACCCCAGACCAGUUUGUGACGGCAGAUGAGACACGGAACCUGCAGAAUGUGGAUAUGAAGAUUGGGGUGUAACACCUACUCUGUGACCUUGGAAAUAAACCACCAUUGGAGACACAACCAUUACAGGGAGCUGGGACACUUCACAGAUGCAGUGUGCUACUGAUUGUUUCAUUG